AGUAUUCUAAAUACUGUAUUUGUCAAUCGAUUGUUAGGCCAGUUUCGUUUGCCAGUCAAUUGUCUAUGGAGACGGUUAUGGAAAGGAGAUUAACGUGUUAAUAUCGUUAAGCUUUGAAGGCAGUGCUUGGAUUGGAUGGAGUGUUUGAAGGCAUGAUCAAAGUGAUUACUGACCAUGUUUUUUGCCCUGAACAUUACAACCAUGCUUGGUAUCAAGUUUGGAUAUCAGUUUUCUUACAUCCAUCAUUGCAUCCAGUUUAGUGAAGAGUUCGAAGGUACGCAGCAUCGAUUUCCAGGGAAAAUUGAUGACUGUAAGAUGCAGCGAUCGUUAUUAUCUAAAAUACCGCGGCUGCCACCUCUGGUUCUUGUUUUUCCUUUCUUCGCAUGAAAACUAGAGUGAUGCAAGUCGGUAUCCGCGCGAAAACCAAGAUGCAAGACGCCAAAGAUCGUAAACAAAUAACCACGUACAAUUGCCGCUCGCAAUGAAAUGACAACAUUCGUACCCUGCAUUGGUAAUGGUAGCUGCACCUUGAAGAA